AUGCUUCUCUGGACAGUGCCCUC
rnacentral:piRNA from 2 species